rnacentral:rRNA from 1 species
GUUUCUAUCUAUGAAAUAUUUUCUUCUAGUACGAAAGGAUCGAAGAAAAGAGGUCCAUGCUUAAAGUAAACCUUGCGUAACCUAAUGAAAACAACUCAAUUAGGCAAAAAGCACAUUUUUUCACCGAAGAUAAUCGAU